UUAGCAAGAAGUACUCAAUUCAUCAAAAUCAAGAAGUAUGGCCAAGUUGUUGAUAUUUACUACUGCUGAUGAUGAAGAGACUAGAAGAAACAAUCGUGAAGAAGUGGUUAAGAAAAUUAUAAGAGAUACAAUGGUGGUUGUGAAUGCAUCGAUUCGUAAAAUACAUAUGAAACUUGAUGAAGAUGUUAGAGACGAAUGGAAUAUGGAGGACAGAAUGAAUGCAUACACGUCUGGGAUAGGUUCCACACUGAAAUCAACUUUUCGGUAACUAAGAUGAAGGAGGCAGGGAUGUUUAGCAAUGAAAAUCCAUUGAAGAAUGACCUUAUUCAAUUCUUCGCUGACAUGGAAAAAGUACGUCCCAAUGAACGAUUUCAGACGACUUAUGAUAUUGUCAAACAGCAGUAGAAUUUCGAUCGUGCCCAAAUUAUUGAAGAUUUCGUUGGAUUUUAUAUAUGAUUAUGAUAAUUUUAUAAUGAUGAUGAUUUUAUAAUGCUAUAGCACGUGCCUUGUACGUGCACAUAACAAGGCACCAAAUGGAGGCAUCAUGUUCUAUAUUUUGCUUCACCGAAAUAUAACGUGCAUUGCA